CGGACCCUUCUAUAUCUCCGUUUCGUUAGUUCCUGCGCUAGUUUCUGUACUAGUUUUAUCUUUAUUAUUUGUUCCUCUAUAGGAAUUGUUAUCAGCAAUUGAUCUUUCGUUGUCACUAUCAUUAGAGGCGUUAACACUAUCUACAGUGUUUCUUUCUGUUGGAAAGGUAUCCAAAAAAGGAAGUCCAAGCAAAUACCACUUUGUUUAUUUUAUACUUACUUCUGAUUCCGUUGGUAUUUUAUUUUUGCGCUUGGUUCUUUUAUACGAAACUUAAAAAUAACAAUCAAAAAUGAAAUAUAUAAAAACUCUUACAAUGAGCCAACAGGAUCAACACUGACUACUUCACUAAACUGUACACGUUGGAAAAUUGUGUGCAGUUUAGUGAAGCAGUGCGUUUUCCUCCCGUUGGCUCAUUGGUAAAAGUUUAUAUAUUUUAUUUUAUUUUUGAGUCAACAUUCAAGAUUGUCACGGUCAUAUUCUAAAAUCGCUCGCAUAUUAGAGUUAAAUGCUUGCAACUAUAAUUAAAACAGAAAUUGAUCUCUCUUGCAGAUAAUUGAGCACAAUUUUCACACGCAACUUACCGCAUAUACACCGGAUACGAUUUCAGAAAAGCUAUCGUUUUUUAAUUAUUCAUUCCACGCCUAGUAAUUAACAUAAUUGUCAUAAUUCAUUUAAAACUAUCAACGCCAUUACAGUUAUUUAUAAACUAUCUUGCAUUCCAUCAGUCAAUAUAAAAUCGGUUGAGGUAAACUAAUAUUUCCAUUUAUCUUAUACAGAGGAAUUGUGCUUUAACAACUCGAGUUAGAAGUAGGUGAAACUAACGAACACGUUUGGUAUUGCAAAACCAAUUUGUAGCAAUAUAAGUUUCGAGUAAAGAAACAACAAAGUAAUGGAACUAACCAAAUCCUAUCUGAACCAAAUUGCUUUAUCCCGGAAUCAUUGCCUUAUUUGAUUAAUCUGAUCGUGAGGUAAAGGGAAGAAUUACAUUUGUUGUGUUGUCGACUUUCAAUUUAGAAAUGUAAGCACUCCAUUUUUAUGUUUUAUUCAAGAGAUCGAAAACUUUUUUAUUUGCAUUGUUCAUUUCCUUUGAAUGUAUCUAUAGUUGAGUGUCUUUACACAAUAUAGCUAAGUGGUCACGUUUCCGAUCGCUGUUAUUCAAUAGAUUCGUUCGUUUUCUCGCUUCCAUUUAUAUCAAAACUGUUAUUUCGGGAGAAUGUGUAUUAUUUUAUUAUGAAGGCUAAUAAUCGAUAAACAAAAAUGUUAAGGGGAGCUGUGAUAGUACACUUGCUAAUCCGACAGGUCCUUAACGUAGGUGUAGUUUGACCCUAAAUUUCUAAUGAAAAUUUGCCUCAAUAUAACUCAUAACUAACCCUAACCCUACGUUAAAGCCUUUAACGAUAUUGCAAGUUCCUCAAACACAUAGGUAGUUGUUUUAUUAUAUAAACUUCGUCAUUUCAAAGUUUAUGUUGUAAACGCAUGUCGGAUGGGAUAGAGUGCGUAAGACACGUGUUUAUCGGACGACGCUAAAUAAAAUGCUGUCUAGUAGAGUAGAUAGAUUUAUUUGCAAUAUAUACAGGUGCGUGCGUGCUGAAGAUGAAACGGCGGAGUUCCGUAAAGCCCAUGUCACAUUAUCAAACAGUUUGAUAAACUAGUUUGAUCAAACUGGACUAUUGACGUCACAAUUUUGUAAUUUGAUGAAAGUUUCAAACUAGGUGGUCACACUAAACACCUCCGUUUGUUCAAAUUGUUUUUGUUCUGUGUUUCAAACUACAGUAAAAUUUGAGGUUGUGUUUGUAUUUUGAUAAUUUCAAAUUUAUAAAACAAUGAAUACAAAAUUGGUUGCAAUGUUAUCUCUAUUGGGGCUAACCUUAAUUACAUACAAUAGUUAUAAAAGGCAAAUUAGCAAGAAAAAACGGUUAUGGUCAAAGUCAUGGCUUCUAAAAAGAAACAAAGGUGUUGGUCGAGGUGUAUUGGCAAUGGUCAGAAAUGAGUUGAACUAUUAAUGGUCUGCAUUGCUAGGAAAAUUACCUACGAAUGGAUAAUAUAGUUUUUAAUAAUUUACUCAAUAUGAUGAGACCUGUCAUUGCCAAACAAAAUACAAGACUUCGAGAAAGUAUAAGUGCAGAAGACAGGUAGGUUUUUUUUAAAUAUGUUGUUUUUAGUAGACAUGGCUAUUAUAAUUAACAGAUUAAUGGUUACUCUUUGCUUUGGUUUUUGUUAAUAAAUAAAUAAUAAGAUCCUGCUUGAACUUAUUUUAAUAAUCGCCAAUCGUUAAGUACACGUUUUUGCAUCACUCAACAUUGCAGUGUUGCCAAUCCUCUAACAUCCUCUCUCUUAAGAUUAGAACAUUAGGAUUAUAUAAUAUUAUUCAGAAUAACUUUUUGGUCUUCUAAUGACCCUGCCUGACCUGGACGUUACUUCGCUACUUUGUGGUGUAAUCUCCAAACCAGGUAAGAUACUAUUCUCAAUUCUAACAGGUUCACAUUCGCUAACAUGACUAUCUAGAUACACAUCCUUGUAAUCAUUUUCAACCUUUCUAAUCUUAAUUAUAAAUUUCCUGUUUCUCUCUAAGAUUCUACCACUAUCUAAUUUUACAAUGUAACAUCUUGGCCUGCUGGCUUUAUUUACAGUGAUACCUUUUUUCCAAUCCUUACUUUCUAAAUCUAUCUUAACUUUAACUACAUCAUUGAUUUUCAACUCUUCCAAAUCUCUAGCAUUCCUAUCAUACCUGUCCCUUUCUUUUUCCUUUUGUUUUUCGAAUGUUCUUUUAAUUACCUUAUUACUAACUACUUGUUUUCCUAAAAUUUUAUUUGUCACAGGUAUUAUACCACGCAGUCUACGUGAAUUCAAUCCUAGAAGGUGAAGGAAGUUCAUUUGAAAUAGGAGUAUUCCGGUAUUCCAGCAUUGCAAGGAGUAUGGCUAACAUCUCUUUCUCGAUUUGAGCAUACCCUAUCUGUGUUGGUGUAAAGGCUCGUGACAUAUACGCCACUGGUUUGCUUCCCUGUAGUAGAACAGCUGCGCACCCAUUUUGCGAGGCAUCACAUGAAAUUGUUAAUGGUUUUUCUACAGGGUGGUGCCUAGCGCAACGCAGCAUAAGGAUUUCAAUGAUCACCCUGUAUGGCAAACGGAACUUUCCUGGCUGCAUGUAUUACCGGCUGGACUCCAGGAUCAACAGUUAUAUGGUAUGGCAACUUUGGGUCGGCUUCAAUAGAAUUCACCUUUGCCCUUACAAUCAAUUGAAAUGUACAACAAGCAUCUAAACCUAUAGUCCGGGAGCCAGCUGACAUUUGAGGGUCGUUAUAGUAAGAAAGCUGGAAAUUUUUUUUGGCGUCUAUUUAGAUGCACUGAUUAACGAAAUAAACGUCAGCUGGCUAGAUAGCGGUGGGGGUAGCCGUAGCAGCCACCCACGCAUGUAUAAUAAAAAUAAACUUAAAAUCAUAGUAAGAAAGAUGAAUCUUUGUAGGCUCGUUUAUUAGCCUAUGUAUAAAUGAAAAAAAAUAGUCAGCUGACUGCACCGCGGUGGAUUAUACGUCAGCUGAUUGGAUAAACAUGUAAAAAAAAAACGUUAGAUAAAAUUAAAGUAAGAAAGCUGAAUUUUGGUGAAAUAAUAGUUUACUACAUCAGUUUUGAGAAAAAAAUACUCCGCUGCAAUUUCCA